AAUUGAAUCUUUACUACACUAGUUAUAGGUCUGAUCCAGCAGGGUUCUUUUGACAUUCAUAUGUUGCCAGGCAACCUCCAUCCUUUGACAUCAGUAACAACAAACCUAAAGCAAGUGUUGAGUAUAUCCAGUUACUUUCCUCUGUUUCUAUGACUGAAGAUGGAAGUUUGAAUUAAAAUGGUAGUUCUUCUUGGUCCACAGGGAGAAUCUCUUUCUCUUGAAACACUGAAAACAUAUAAGGUGCUGAGAAGGGGUUAACAAGGCAGCCAGUCCACUUAUUGUGCAUGCUGAGACUUCAGCGCAACCAUGAAACUCUCAAAGUGAUCUUGUUCCAACUGCUAUCUCUAAGCCAAACUUACUUCGUUGCGUUUGAAUGUGUAGAGACAAAUGUUUUUGACUCUACCUCAACCUCCCCAAAAGGACAUCAUGGAUAAAAGGCAGUGAAUUUAAGUUAAAGCUCCAUUAGGGUGUUUGGUUUACUCCAAAGUGUUUUGUUUUGCUUUUCAAGACAACUCAUAGCUAGUGUCUAAUGAUUUCUUGGAAAAUACAUAAGGAGGCCAAUUACACAAAGCUCUGGACAGUAGAUUGCUCAUUUUGCUGUUGGUGACCACUGGAACAGAAACAAUCUGAUGGAAGCUUCAUGGGGGCUGCUGUAAUCAGACCUCAUUACAGAUAAGUGUUUUCCCAUUGUCCUUUGAAAUCUUAAUCCAUCACCAACUAUUAAGAAAUCAGUCAAUUGUCUGACGACAGUUAUAAAAGCCUUUUCCAGGCAGUUUUACUUCUUGCCUUUGACAUGAAAUGGAGCUCUGGGUGAAUUAAUUACACAUCAAGCAUGUGUUGAUACUGCUUGGUAAUGUGUAUAACUAAUUUAGUAUGGGGAGGUUUUUGCAAUAUUGCAGAAAUGUCAGCAGUCUAUCAUUAAAGCUUA
rnacentral:lncRNA from 1 species